UAGGGCUCUUUCGGGUCUUAUAGUUGGAAUGAGUACAAUUUAAAUCCCUUAACGAGGAACAAUUGGAGGGCAAGUCUGGUGCCAGCAGCCGCGGUAAUUCCAGCUCCAAUAGCGUAUAUUAAACUUGUUGCAGUUAAAAAGCUCGUAGUUGUAUUUCAGCCUCGCGUUUUUUCCCUCUUUUCGGGUCUUUUCGCUGGCUUUGUUCUUACUUUGAGAAAAUUAGAGUGUUUCAAGCAGACUUUUGUCUUGAAUACUUCAGCAUGGAAUAAUAGAGUAGGACCUUGGUUCUAUUUUGUUGGUUUCGAGCCUUGGUAAUGGUUAAUAGGAACGGUUGGGGGCAUUCGUAUUUAACUGUCAGAGGUGAAAUUCUUAGAUUUGUUAAAGACGAACCACUGCGAAAGCAUUUGCCAAGGACGUUUUCAUUAAUCAAGAAC
rnacentral:rRNA from 1 species